rnacentral:rRNA from 1 species
UGACAACAGUUACUGAACCCUAUCAAACUCCGAAUGCCAUAUACUUGUACCCCGGCAGUCAGACUACGAAUGAUAAGAUCCGUGGUCAAAAGGGAAACAGCCCAGACCAUCAGCUAAGGUCCCAAAGUGUAAGUUAAGUGGGAAAGGAUGUGGGAUUUCUAAGACAACUAGGAUGUUGGCUUAGAAGCAGCCACUCAUUUAAAGAGUGCGUAAUAGCUCACUAGUCGAGAGAUCCUGCGCCGAAGAUGUAACGGGGCUCAAACUUACCACCGAAGCUAUGGAUGUGUACUUUGUACACGUGGUAGAGGAGCUUUCUGUACAGGUUGAAGUCAUACCGUAAGGAGUGGUGGACAGUACAGAAGUGAGAAUGCUGGCAUAAGUAGCGAAAAACAAGUGAGAAUCUUGUUGACCGAAUAUCUAAGGUUUCCUGGGGAAGGCUCGUCCUCCCAGGGUUAGUCGGGACCUAAGCCGAGGCCGAAAGGCGUAGGUGAUGGACAACUGGUUGAUAUUCCAGUACCACCAUAAUGCGUUUGACAAAUGGGAUGACGCAGGAGGAUAGGAUGUGCGCACUAUUGGAUGUGCGUCUAAGCACUUAGGGUGUUAAGUAGGCAAAUCCGCUUAACAUUAAGCCUGAGGUGUGAUGGGGAGCCUAUUUUGGCGAAGUAUCUGAUUCCACGCUGCCAAGAAAAGUCUCUAUGGAGCAAA